rnacentral:lncRNA from 1 species
AAUGGGCUCAAAACUCCAACAAUCUGCCUCACCACCUCUCUCUUCUUACCAUGUACUCUAACCGGGAAGCAGGACAGGGACGUACGCAGAAGAAAUUAUUCUGCUUUAUCUGGAAAGGACACACCAGGUUUUGAGGACGACACCCAGCUAAGUUCCUUGGUGGUUGGUGGCCUAAUUUUGCUUCGGUAAUAGUAUACUUGACAAUUGAGGUGUGGCGGGAACUUAGAUUAUUUCUAGUGUGAUUUCUAUGGAAAGCAAGAUAAACCUAAGGCAACUCUUACAGAACACUGGACUAGAUGGGAGAUAAAUUGACCAGAGGUGAUGUCUACAACAUCAAAAACCCAGAUGAAACCUGGAAAAUGCAGGCAUUCUGUCGAUCUUGCCAAAAUUUACUUGGAAUUCUCAUCAGCUGAAUGGUUUUACUUACUACCCUUGGUCAGUAUUUAAAUCAUGAAAAGAACCCUAGCAAAGGACUUACUUCCUCAGUGCCUCAUGCUCCUGGGACUUACUGUUUUUUAAUUUGAAUUAUAAUUAUUUACAUGCAUAACUUUUCUUCUACCAGAUUCAGUGGAAAUACUUAGGUAUAGGGCAUUAUCCUAGGCCUUGGAAAUAAAAAGAUUUUUAAAAAUCA